rnacentral:rRNA from 1 species
AUUGAACGCUGGCGGCAUGCCUUACACAUGCAAGUCGAACGGCAGCACGGGUGCUUGCACCUGGUGGCGAGUGGCGAACGGGUGAGUAAUACAUCGGAACGUACCUUAUCGUGGGGGAUAACGCAGCGAAAGCUGUGCUAAUACCGCAUACGCCCUGAUGGGGAAAGCGGGGGAGCGAAAGACCUCGCGCGAUUAGAGCGGCCGAUGCCUGGUUAGCUCGUUGGUGGGGUAAAAGCCCACCAAGGCGACGAUCAGUAGCUGGUCUGAGAGGACGAUCAGCCACACUGGGACUGAGACACGGCCCAGACUCCUACGGGAGGCAGCAGUGGGGAAUUUUGGACAAUGGGGGCAACCCUGAUCCAGCAAUGCCGCGUGAGUGAAGAAGGCCUUCGGGUUGUAAAGAUCUUUUGUCAGGGAAGAAACAGCAGCUCUAACACAGUCUGCGAAUGACGGUACCUGAAGAAUAAGCACCGGCUAACUACGUGCCAGCAGCCGCCGUAA